rnacentral:rRNA from 1 species
AACGAACGCUGGCGGCAUGCCUAACACAUGCAAGUCGAACGGGAUCCUAGCUUGCUAGGUGAGAGUGGCGGACGGGUGAGUAACACGUGGGAAUCUGCCUUUUUGGUUCGGGAUAACCGCGGGAAACUGCGGCUAAUACCGAAUGCCCUCGAGAGAGGAAAGAUUUAUCGCCAGAAGAGGAGCCCGCGUCCGAUUAGGUAGUUGGUGGGGGUAAAGGCCUACCAAGCCGACGAUCGGUAGCUGGUCUGAGAGGAUGAUCAGCCACACUGGGACUGAGAUACGGCCCAGACUCCUACGGGAGGCAGCAGUGGGGAAUAUUGGGACAAUGGGGGCAACCCUGAUCCAGCAAUGCCGCGUGAGUGA